AGUCGAGCGGUAAGGCCCUUCGGGGUACACGAGCGGCGAACGGGUGAGUAACACGUGGGCGACCUGCCCUCCACUCUGGGAUAAGCCCGGGAAACUGGGUCUAAUACCGGAUAUGACCUUCCCUCGCAUGGGGGUUGGUGGAAAGUUUUUCGGUGGGGGAUGGGCCCGCGGCCUAUCAGCUUGUUGGUGGGGUGAUGGCCCACCAAGGCGACGACGGGUAGCCGGCCUGAGAGGGCGACCGGCCACACUGGGACUGAGACACGGCCCAGACUCCUACGGGAGGCAGCAGUGGGGAAUAUUGCGCAAUGGGCGAAAGCCUGACGCAGCGACGCCGCGUGGGGGAUGACGGCCUUCGGGUUGUAAACCUCUUUCGCCAGGGACGAAGCGUGAGUGACGGUACCUGGAUAAGAAGCACCGGCCAACUACGUGCCAGCAGCCGCGGUAACACGUAGGGUGCGAGCGUUGUCCGGAAUUAUUGGGCGUAAAGAGCUCGUAGGCGGUCUGUCGCGUCGGUCGUGAAAACUUGGGGCUUAACUCUGAGCUUGCGGUCGAUACGGGCAUGACUGGAGUUCGGCAGGGGAGACUGGAAUUCCUGGUGUAGCGGUGAAAUGCGCAGAUAUCAGGAGGAACACCGGUGGCGAAGGCGGGUCUCUGGGCCGAUACUGACGCUGAGGAGCGAAAGCGUGGGGAGCGAACAGGAUUAGAUACCCUGGUAGUCCACGCCGUAAACGUUGGGCGCUAGGUGUGGGGGCCAUUCCACGGUCUCUGUGCCGCAGCUAACGCAUUAAGCGCCCCGCCUGGGGAGUACGGCCGCAAGGCUAAAACUCAAAGGAAUUGACGGGGCCCGCACAAGCGGCGGAGCAUGUGG
rnacentral:rRNA from 1 species